CUUGUAUUUUCUCAUUCUGUUGCCACAAUUUGGAAAAGCACAAACACAAACCCUUUCUUUUCCACAUUAGAUCAACACACGUUAUUCUCACUCCAAGCUUCUUCCGUUGUAAACACCUCCGAUCUUCACUCUUCACACUACGCUCCGAUCUGCACACUACUGUUUACCAUUUCCUGCAACAACUGAAUUCCCACAGGACUUACGCAUGACUACAGGCUUCUG